rnacentral:rRNA from 1 species
AUUGAACGCUGGCGGCAUGCCUUACACAUGCAAGUCGAACGGCAGCACGGGUGCUUGCCCCUGGUGGCGAGUGGCGCACGGGUGAGUAAUACAUCGGAACAUGUCCUCUAGUGGGGGAUAGCCCGGUCAAAGCCGGAUUACUACCGCAUACGAUCUACGGAUGCAAGCUGGGGACCUUCUGGCCUCCGGCUUUACGGUCGCCUGAUGACGGAUUAGCUCGUUGUUGGGGUAAUGGUAUACCAAGGCGACGAUAAGUAGCGGGUCUGAGAGGACGACCAGCCACACUGGGACUGAGACACGGCCCAGACUCCUACGGGAGGCAGCAGUGGGGAAUUUUGGACAAUGGGCGAAAGCCUGAUCGAGCAAUGCCGCGUGAGUGAAGAAGGCCUUCGGGUUGUAAAGCACUUUUAUCAGGAAAGAAAAACUUGGCAAUAAUACAGUCACGGGUUGACGGUACCGGAAGAAUAAGCCCCGGCUAACUACGUG